rnacentral:rRNA from 1 species
UGGGGAAUAUUGCACAAUGGGCGAAAGCCUGAUGCAGCAACGCCGCGUGAGGGGACGACGGCCUUCGGGUUGUAAACCUCUUUUAGCAAGGAAGAAGCGAAAGUGACGGUACUUGCAGAAAAAGCGCCGGCUAACUACGUGCCAGCAGCCGCGGUAAUACGUAGGGCGCAAGCGUUAUCCGGAAUUAUUGGGCGUAAAGAGCUCGUAGGCGGUUUGUCGCGUCUGCUGUGAAAACCCGAGGCUCAACCUCGGGCCUGCAGUGGGUACGGGCAGACUAGAGUGCGGUAGGGGAGAUUGGAACUCCUGGUGUAGCGGUGGAAUGCGCAGAUAUCAGGAAGAACACCGAUGGCGAAGGCAGAUCUNUGGGCCGUAACUGACGCUGAGGAGCGAAAAGGGUGGGGAGCAAACAGGCUUAGAUGA